rnacentral:rRNA from 1 species
UACAGAGGUCUCAAGCGUUGUUCGGAUUCAUUGGGCGUAAAGGGUGCGUAGGCGGCGCGGUAAGUCGGGUGUGAAAUCUCGGAGCUUAACUCCGAAACUGCAUUCGAUACUGCCGUGCUUGAGGACUGGAGAGGAGACUGGAAUUUACGGUGUAGCGGUGAAAUGCGUAGAUAUCGUAAGGAAGACCAGUGGCGAAGGCGGGUCUCUGGAAAGUUCCUGACGCUGAGGCACGAAGGCCAGGGGAGCAAACGGG